rnacentral:rRNA from 1 species
UACGUAGGGCGCAAGCGUUGUCCGGAAUUAUUGGGCGUAAAGAGCUCGUAGGCGGCCUGUUGCGUCCGCUGUGAAAUCCCGGGGCUCAACCCCGGGCGUGCAGUGGAUACGGGCUGGCUGGAGGCAGGCAGGGGAGAACGGAAUUCCUGGUGUAGCGGUGAAAUGCGCAGAUAUCAGGAGGAACACCGGUGGCGAAGGCGGUUCUCUGGGCCGUUACUGACGCUGAGGAGCGAAAGCGUGGGGAGCGAACAGG